AUUGAACGCUGGCGGCAGGCCUAACACAUGCAAGUCGAACGGUAACAGAAAGCAGCUUGCUGCUUUGCUGACGAGUGGCGGACGGGUGAGUAAUGUCUGGGAAACUGCCUGAUGGAGGGGGAUAACUACUGGAAACGGUAGCUAAUACCGCAUAACGUCGCAAGCCCAAAGAGGGGGACCUUCGGGCCUCUUGCCAUCGGAUGUGCCCAGAUGGGAUUGGCUAGUAGGUGGGGUAAAGGCUCACCUAGGCGACGAUCCCUAGCUGGUCUGAGUGGAUGACCAGCCACACUGGAACUGAGACGCGGUCCAGACUCCUACGGGAGGCAGCAGUGGGGAAUAGUGCACAAUGGGCGCAAGCCUGAUGCAGCCAUGCCGCGUGUAUGAAGAAGGCCUUCGGGUUGUAAAGUACGUUCAGCGGGGAGGAAGGGAGUAAAGUUAAUACCUUUGCUCAUUGACGUUACCCGCAGAAGAAGCACCGGCUAACUCCGUG
rnacentral:rRNA from 1 species